AACAUUAUCCGACCCCGAGCCUGUUUUCCUAAGUCUAGCGAUAUGGAAACUGUGCCUGUAAUUGAUUGAUUACACAGGGAAAGUUGAGAAAUCGGCUCUCCUCUCAUAUUUAGAAAGGUGUCACAUUGCAAAUC
rnacentral:ncRNA from 2 species